UACGUAGGGGGCAAGCGUUGUCCGGAUUUAUUGGGCGUAAAGAGCGUGUAGGCGGCCAAGCAGGUCCGCUGUGAAAACUCGAGGCUCAACCUCGAGACGUCGGCGGAAACCAUCUGGCUAGAGUGCGGGAUGGGAGAGUGGAAUUCCUGGUGUAGCGGUGAAAUGCGUAGAUAUCAGGAGGAACACCUGUGGUGUAGACGGCUCUCUGGACCGCAACUGACGCUGAGACACGAAAGCGUGGGUAGCAAACAGG
rnacentral:rRNA from 1 species